AUGAACGCUGGCGGCGUGCCUCAUACAUGCAAGUCGAGCGAACAGACGAGGAGCUUGCUCCUCUGACGUUAGCGGCGGACGGGUGAGUAACACGUGGAUGACCUACCUAUAAGACUGGGAUAACUUCGGGAAACCGGAGCUAAUACCGGAUAAUAUAUUGAACCGCAUGGUUCAAUAGUGAAAGACGGUUUUGCUGUCACUUAUAGAUGGAUCCGCGCCGCAUUAGCUAGUUGGUAAGGUAACGGCUUACCAAGGCAACGAUGCGUAGCCGACCUGAGAGGGUGAUCGGCCACACUGGAACUGAGACACGGUCCAGACUCCUACGGGAGGCAGCAGUAGGGAAUCUUCCGCAAUGGGCGAAAGCCUGACGGAGCAACGCCGCGUGAGUGAUGAAGGUCUUCGGAUCGUAAAACUCUGUUAUUAGGGAAGAACAAAUGUGUAAGUAACUAUGCACGUCUUGACGGUACCUAAUCAGAAAGCCACGGCUAACUACGUG
rnacentral:rRNA from 1 species